CAGGAUUCACCUCAUUACUCCAUUUUUUGGAACUGUUUCUCCCUGCAUCAGGCAUGGUCCUGCGUCGCGUAGUUGUGGAGUUAUAGGUUUCGAGAUUCUUGGGGUCUUUAUCUUACCUUACGCAUAGUGUCAUUGGAGAGCAUUUUUGAGUGUAGUCGAUGGUUAUCGACGAUACUGCUUGUCCAGGUAUAUAGGGUUUAGUGACUUAGAAUCUAGAGCGAAGAAUACAAGUUCUGGUGGGAAGGAAUCCAUGUCGAAUUCCUCUCCCUGAAUAUUCUUUUAUAUACAUUGUUUUGGUUCGCAUUGUAAGGCGGACGAUGAUGAGGUUACUUAAGGUCUCGUUCGCCUGAGUAUGAUGUGCUGAGAAUCUUAACUCUGAUGUCCUCACUGGUGGUCACGUCAACAUUCAUGUGCCUUGUGGAGAUUUGACGCGGAGAAAGGCCAUGUGCUUUAAAGUCUCGCUCCGUCCAAUGGAUCACAAGCUAUGUUGGUCGUCAUUAUCAGAACGUCGUGCAUUUUUUCAUUGACUGAGUGCUGUAUCAAGUCCUCUGGUCCUAAUCCACAUGUCAUGUGAGGGGCGUCGAUGCAGUCGAGCUAUCCGGGAGAAUUUAAAGAGCAUUCCCGAUUGCUUUCACAAGCUAUAUAUUUGUAACUGUAACUUAUGUUGGUGAAAUUGAUAUUUUAUCCCGAAGUAUCCCCAGUCUUCUCUUGAAGCUGAACUCUUCGUCGUCUUCAUUUGACCACAAUUUUGUUUCUUUCAUACUAUGAUUAAUUGUGUAGUAAAAGUUGGCACAAUGGUUUAGCUUAGAUUCUGUAUAGCUCGUUUAGUUACAAGAUUAUUGCUGUUUAGCUUUAACAUUUUUCAAUGUGUAGGACUGAGCAAUGGCCCUACAUAUGCAGUUCUUCAUGUAAAACUUUCUCCUGGGAAAGGAUAGGGCUAGUGGUGUAUCAGACAAUAGACCUUGUCUUGAAAGUUGUAUUCUUCCGUUGAUGUGGCGGAGUUGGUCUUUGGCACCAAUCUCAGGUACUGGGCCGAAAGGGCGUGGGUUUGAAUCCCACUGUCGACAUGUAACUUGGGUGUCAGUUGCCCAUGUGAUCAC